rnacentral:rRNA from 1 species
UUAUGGGCUCAGAUGAACGCUGGCGGCAGGCUAACACAUGCAAGUCGAGCGGGAAGGUAGCUUGCUACCUUACCUAGCGGCGGACGGGUGAGUAAUGCUUAGGAAUCUGCCUAGUUAGUGGGGGACAACAUCUCGAAAGGGAUGCUAAUACCGCAUACGUCCUACGGGAGAAAGCAGGGGACCUUCGGGCCUCGCGCUAACAGAUGAGCCUAAGUCGGAUUAGCUAGUUGGUGGGGUAAAGGCCUACCAAGGCGACGAUCUGUAGCGGGUCUGAGAGGAUGAUCCGCCACACUGGGACUGAGACACGGCCCAGACUCCUACGGGAGGCAGCAGUGGGGAAUAUUGGACAAUGGGGGGAACCCUGAUCCAGCCAUGCCGCGUGUGUGAAGAAGGCCCUUUUGGUUGUAAAGCACUUUAAGCGAGGAGGAGGCUACCGAGAUUAAUACUCUUGGAUAGUGGACGUUACUCGCAGAAUAAGCACCGGCUAACUCUGUGCCAGCAGCAGC